UACGUAGGGGGCAAGCGUUGUCCGGAUUUAUUGGGCGUAAAGAGCGUGUAGGCGGCUUGGCAAGUCCGCUGUGAAAACUCGAGGCUCAACCUCGAGACGCCGAUGGAAACCAUCUGACUAGAGUCCGGAAGAGGAGAGUGGAAUUCCUGGUGUAGCGGUGAAAUGCGCAGAUAUCAGGAAGAACACCCGUGGCUAAGGCGGCUCUCUAGUACGGUACUGACGCUGAGACGCGAAAGCGUGGGGAGCGAACAGG
rnacentral:rRNA from 1 species